GACAGAGGGGGCAAGCGUUGCUCGGAAUUACUGGGCGUAAAGGGCGCGUAGGCGGGAUGGCAAGUCGGUCGUGAAAUCCCUCGGCUCAACCGAGGAACGUCGAUCGAUACUGCUGUUCUUGAGGAUUGCAGAGGAGACUGGAAUUCCCGGUGUAGCGGUGAAAUGCGUAGAGAUCGGAAGGAACACCAGUGGCGAAGGCGGCUACCUGGACAAAUACUGACGCUGAGGCGCGAGAGCGUGGGGAGCAAACAGG
rnacentral:rRNA from 1 species